rnacentral:rRNA from 1 species
UGGGCAACCUGCCCUCAGCACUGGGAUAACCCCCGGGGAAACCGGGGCUAAUACCAGAUACGACCACGGCGGACAUCCGCUGUGGUGGAAAGUGUUAGUGGCUGAGGAUGGGCCCGCGGCCUAUCAGCUUGUUGGUGGGGUAACGGCCUACCAAGGCGACGACGGGUAGCCGGCCUGAGAGGGCGACCGGCCACACUGGGACUGAGACACGGCCCAGACUCCUACGGGAGGCA